rnacentral:tRNA from 1 species
GCUGGGGUCGGGCUCGGUGGUAGAGCACUUGCCUAGCAUGCAUGAGGGACUGGGUUCGAUUCUCAGUAGCA